UUAAGCGACUAAGCGUACACGGUGGAUGCCCUGGCAGUCAGAGGCGAUGAAGGACGUGCUAAUCUGCGAUAAGCGUCGGUGAGGUGAUAUGAACCGUUAUAACCGGCGAUUUCCGAAUGGGGAAACCCAGUGUGUUUCGACACACUAUCAUUAACUGAAUCCAUAGGUUAAUGAGGCGAACCGGGGGAACUGAAACAUCUAAGUACCCCGAGGAAAAGAAAUCAACCGAGAUUCCCCCAGUAGCGGCGAGCGAACGGGGAGCAGCCCAGAGCCUGAAUCAGUGUGUGUGUUAGUGGAAGCGUCUGGAAAGGCGCGCGAUACAGGGUGACAGCCCCGUACACAAAAAUGCACAUGCUGUGAGCUCGAUGAGUAGGGCGGGACACGUGGUAUCCUGUCUGAAUAUGGGGGGACCAUCCUCCAAGGCUAAAUACUCCUGACUGACCGAUAGUGAACCAGUACCGUGAGGGAAAGGCGAAAAGAACCCCGGCGAGGGGAGUGAAAAAGAACCUGAAACCGUGUACGUACAAGCAGUGGGAGCACAGAGCAAUCUGUGUGACUGCGUACCUUUUGUAUAAUGGGUCAGCGACUUAUAUUCUGUAGCAAGGUUAACCGAAUAGGGGAGCCGAAGGGAAACCGAGUCUUAACUGGGCGUUAAGUUGCAGGGUAUAGACCCGAAACCCGGUGAUCUAGCCAUGGGCAGGUUGAAGGUUGGGUAACACUAACUGGAGGACCGAACCGACUAAUGUUGAAAAAUUAGCGGAUGACUUGUGGCUGGGGGUGAAAGGCCAAUCAAACCGGGAGAUAGCUGGUUCUCCCCGAAAGCUAUUUAGGUAGCGCCUCGUGAAUUCAUCUCCGGGGGUAGAGCACUGUUUCGGCAAGGGGGUCAUCCCGACUUACCAACCCGAUGCAAACUGCGAAUACCGGAGAAUGUUAUCACGGGAGACACACGGCGGGUGCUAACGUCCGUCGUGAAGAGGGAAACAACCCAGACCGCCAGCUAAGGUCCCAAAGUCAUGGUUAAGUGGGAAACGAUGUGGGAAGGCCCAGACAGCCAGGAUGUUGGCUUAGAAGCAGCCAUCAUUUAAAGAAAGCGUAAUAGCUCACUGGUCGAGUCGGCCUGCGCGGAAGAUGUAACGGGGCUAAACCAUGCACCGAAGCUGCGGCAGCGACGCUUAUGCGUUGUUGGGUAGGGGAGCGUUCUGUAAGCCUGCGAAGGUGUGCUGUGAGGCAUGCUGGAGGUAUCAGAAGUGCGAAUGCUGACAUAAGUAACGAUAAAGCGGGUGAAAAGCCCGCUCGCCGGAAGACCAAGGGUUCCUGUCCAACGUUAAUCGGGGCAGGGUGAGUCGACCCCUAAGGCGAGGCCGAAAGGCGUAGUCGAUGGGAAACAGGUUAAUAUUCCUGUACUUGGUGUUACUGCGAAGGGGGGACGGAGAAGGCUAUGUUGGCCGGGCGACGGUUGUCCCGGUUUAAGCGUGUAGGCUGGUUUUCCAGGCAAAUCCGGAAAAUCAAGGCUGAGGCGUGAUGACGAGGCACUACGGUGCUGAAGCAACAAAUGCCCUGCUUCCAGGAAAAGCCUCUAAGCAUCAGGUAACAUCAAAUCGUACCCCAAACCGACACAGGUGGUCAGGUAGAGAAUACCAAGGCGCUUGAGAGAACUCGGGUGAAGGAACUAGGCAAAAUGGUGCCGUAACUUCGGGAGAAGGCACGCUGAUAUGUAGGUGAGGUCCCUCGCGGAUGGAGCUGAAAUCAGUCGAAGAUACCAGCUGGCUGCAACUGUUUAUUAAAAACACAGCACUGUGCAAACACGAAAGUGGACGUAUACGGUGUGACGCCUGCCCGGUGCCGGAAGGUUAAUUGAUGGGGUUAGCGGUAACGCGAAGCUCUUGAUCGAAGCCCCGGUAAACGGCGGCCGUAACUAUAACGGUCCUAAGGUAGCGAAAUUCCUUGUCGGGUAAGUUCCGACCUGCACGAAUGGCGUAAUGAUGGCCAGGCUGUCUCCACCCGAGACUCAGUGAAAUUGAACUCGCUGUGAAGAUGCAGUGUACCCGCGGCAAGACGGAAAGACCCCGUGAACCUUUACUAUAGCUUGACACUGAACAUUGAGCCUUGAUGUGUAGGAUAGGUGGGAGGCUUUGAAGUGUGGACGCCAGUCUGCAUGGAGCCGGCCUUGAAAUACCACCCUUUAAUGUUUGAUGUUCUAACGUUGGCCCCUGAUCGGGGUUGCGGACAGUGUCUGGUGGGUAGUUUGACUGGGGCGGUCUCCUCCUAAAGAGUAACGGAGGAGCACGAAGGUUGGCUAAUCCUGGUCGGACAUCAGGAGGUUAGUGCAAUGGCAUAAGCCAGCUUGACUGCGAGCGUGACGGCGCGAGCAGGUGCGAAAGCAGGUCAUAGUGAUCCGGUGGUUCUGAAUGGAAGGGCCAUCGCUCAACGGAUAAAAGGUACUCCGGGGAUAACAGGCUGAUACCGCCCAAGAGUUCAUAUCGACGGCGGUGUUUGGCACCUCGAUGUCGGCUCAUCACAUCCUGGGGCUGAAGUAGGUCCCAAGGGUAUGGCUGUUCGCCAUUUAAAGUGGUACGCGAGCUGGGUUUAGAACGUCGUGAGACAGUUCGGUCCCUAUCUGCCGUGGGCGCUGGAGAACUGAGGGGGGCUGCUCCUAGUACGAGAGGACCGGAGUGGACGCAUCACUGGUGUUCGGGUUGUCAUGCCAAUGGCACUGCCCGGUAGCUAAAUGCGGAAGAGAUAAGUGCUGAAAGCAUCUAAGCACGAAACUUGCCCCGAGAUGAGUUCUCCCUGACUCCUUGAGAGUCCUGAAGGAACGUUGAAGACGACGACGUUGAUAGGCCGGGUGUGUAAGCGCAGCGAUGCGUUGAGCUAACCGGUACUAAUGAACCGUGAGGCUUAACCUU
rnacentral:rRNA from 2 species